CAGUCGCCGCGGUAAUACAGAGGGUGCGAGCGUUAAUCGGAAUUACUGGGCGUAAAGCGCGCGUAGACGGUUUGGUAAGUCAGAUGUGAAAUCCCUGGGCUCAACCUGGGAACUGCAUUUGAUACUGCCUGGCUAGAGUAUCGAAGAGGGAAGUGGAAUUUCCGGUGUAGCGGUGAAAUGCGUAGAUAUCGGAAGGAACACCAGUGGCGAAAGCGACUUCCUGGUCGAAUACUGACGUUCAUGUGCGAAAGCGUGGGGAGCAAACAGGAUUAGAUACCCCCGUAGUCCCUGUCUCUUAUAC
rnacentral:rRNA from 1 species